AUUUUAACCAAUGUGACAGUUGGGUGUCACACAAGACUUGCUCUCUAGUGAAAAGGCUUAAUGUCUCCCUUUUGGGUAUGGCUUCGUGAUGUGUUUACACAUGCAUCAAUGCAUCAGCGAAGCGCCUUUGUGGCCCUGAUUUGACCCCUUUUUGAAGAGCCAGUUCACAUAUCCUCAUUGAAUACUGCUACUCACUUUGGGUGAGUGCUAUUAUCUAUUAUACAUUCGGACAGAAUGUAUCUUCCUGUGAUUUUCUGACAGACCGACCAUCUGGAAACCUUGUUCAUAUAUCCGGUUUAUAACUAGAUGCAAUUGCACGCUAAAGGUAUGAUAGCAUUUAUUUAAAUCUGAAUUCAUUUUGAAUCCAUUAAAUGUAGUUUGGUACAGCCUUAUGAAAUUUUAAGUUCUGCUUGAGAAAUCUGGGGAGUGUGACUAGCAAUCAUAAAUCCAAAGUAAUUUACAAGCCUAAUUUAGGAAUGAGCCACAGCAUCAAAACAUCAGGAGUUCAUGUCAGUUUGUUUCGCUUAUAGCCUCACAGCUACGGCUGCGUAUAGCUAAAAAAAAUGUUGGAUAUCAAAGCCAAAACAAUAGCUGAGUUUUGGUACUGAUUCAUGUUUAUUCUUUUUGCCACAUAUGCCAAAACUGCUUCCUGCAAUGAACUUUGCCUACAUAGAAAUAUAUUCUGAGGUUUCCUGAUUUACAACAGGACAAAAGUGAUCAAACAAUAAGUAAACAAGGCCAAGAUUCAGUCCAACCAUUUGAUGCCAACUUUCAAUGCUCUUCAAUACCCAGUGCUACUCACAACUCAGGCGUAUAAUUCAGCAUUUCCUAUUAUACAGUGAAACCAAAAAUCUGUCAUAACUAUGUAAAAACAUUUUUGUCACAAUUUUCAGUUGAAAAAACAGCUGUUUAAGCAGCCAUUUGCAUUGAUUUAUCCCUGCCAAGGAAGUCAGUGGAAUCUAGGAUGUGUCUAGAUGGUAACCCUAGAUUUGCGAUCUUAUCUUAACCUUAACAAUUCAAGCUCAAUGCCUAACCUCAACCAUCUAACCUUACCCAUUCAAAGUCAAUACAUAACCUCAACCAUCUAACCUAUCCCAUUCGAGGUCAAUGCCUAACCUCAACCAUCUUGCGAAAGUUUUGCAAAUGUUGGGUUACCUUUUUGACACGACUUCUAAACACCUCUAGACUUUUGAUGGCAUUCAAAGCAUUUCUUGUGAGACAUUCGGCACAAAUAAGAUGUUAAGUAUGGCACUCCAGUAUUGAAUGUAAUGAAUUUGUACUUUUGGUGCCUGUGGUGAAAAAAAUGGGGAUCUAUAGACUCUUGUUACCUUACCUACCUGUAUAGUCUGCAUGUAAAUAUCUUGUGCAUGUAUGAUUUUUGUGUCUGCACUUACACAUUCUUAAAAAAUGUUAAAUAACAAUUUUAAAGAUUUAUUUGUUGGGACACAUGCAAGAUAGUAGGUUUUUAUAGAAAGUAAUGAAGUAAAUGGUGUCCUAUUUAAUUGUGAAGGGCUAUUCAUCACAAUAUAUCCAUACCAAUAUACUGUAUAUUACCUCUGUGAUUGUCUGCAAAACUCUGCAAGGUUUAGUCAAGUUUCUGAGUAUCAACAAAUGCUUGUGAAUGCCACUGCUUAGUGGCUUUAGUGGUAUAAUGAGUAUUUUAUUUGGACAUAAUCUGAUGUAAUUUGCUAUAUUUGAAGAGGAUUGAGAAUUGAAUUACUAGAAGAUUUAACUGCUGUGCCUCUGGUAAAAACAAUCUCACAUAAUGAAAUAAAAUUUUAACAGAUUUUGCACCAAAUAUCUGACACAUUGGGGAAUACAAAGUUGGCCUAGUGACAACAUUUAAAUAAUACAAUUAAAAUUAAAAAAUACAACUGCAAUAUUAUAUUGGCCUGAUAGAUGCAAUAAACUGAAUAGGAAAUCAAGUAAAAAAGCAUUCACCGUUUAUGUUUCAGAUUUGAUUUAUGUUAUGCACAUGGCAACCUAACUGCUUUAUGUAUGUUCUGCCUUACUGUUGUUAAGUACUGGUGAGACGAUGAAAUACGACCCAGGAAGUCCAGUUGGAGUGACAGAUUAAUGUGUUUCAAGGCUUACCAGAGGCCGAAAUACUGCACAUUAGUUUGUAUUACCCACAGACAGGAUUUUACAACUCCGACGAGAAAUAACGGUGGCAACCAUUUUAUGUUUCGUCGUGAUGAUCGUGAGGUGAACAGUAGAAACAGUGUUCAAUGAACUGUCUCAAUUCAAACAAAUGAGAGGGCUGCGUUUUGUCACGUUUUGGCUAUUUUGCAGAGGCACUGACCUGCAUCCGGCAUCUGUGCCCCCCAAGACGAUUGUGAUUGGUUUAAAGAAAUGCCAAUAAACCAGAGAACGUUUUUCUCCUAUCUCGGAAUGUUGUGUGGACUAGCCAGACUCUCCUCCGCAGCGCUGUGAUGGUAGGUCUGGCAAUGUGAGAUUUACUGGAGGGUAACUGGCUUUGCAGUGAAUUAUAGGGGCCAUGAUAUAAUCAGUGCACAAUGAGAUUAUUUGAUGCAUAUGUAAACAACAGACAUGGUAGAGAUUAAGAACACUUUUACACCGUCUGUCCCCCCAGUUAAAAAUAAUGAAUCACCUACUGACC